rnacentral:rRNA from 1 species
CCUACGGGAGGCAGCAGUGGGGAAUUUUGGACAAUGGGCGAAAGCCUGAUCCAGCCAUUCCGCGUGAGUGAAGAAGGCCUUCGGGUUGUAAAGCUCUUUCGCAAGGGAAGAAAACUUAGUCUCUAACAUAGACUGAGGUUGACGGUACCUUGAUAAGAAGCACCGGCUAACUACGUGCCAGCAGCCGCGGUAAUACGUAGGGUGCGAGCGUUAAUCGGAAUUACUGGGCGUAAAGCGUGCGCAGGCGGUUUUGUAAGUCAGAUGUGAAAUCCCCGAGCUCAACUUGGGAACUGCGUUUGAAACUACAAGACUAGAAUAUGUCAGAGGGGGGUAGAAUUCCACGUGUAGCAGUGAAAUGCGUAGAGAUGUGGAGGAAUACCAAUGGCGAAGGCAGCCCCCUGGGAUAAUAUUGACGCUCAUGCACGAAAGCGUGGGGAGCAAACAGGAUUAGAUACCCUGGUAGUCCACGCCCUAAACGAUGUCUACUAGUUGUUGGUGGAGUAAAAUCCAUGAGUAACGCAGCUAACGCGUGAAGUAGACCGCCUGGGGAUACGGUCGCAAGAUUAAAACUCAAAUGAAUUGACG